rnacentral:rRNA from 1 species
AACGCGAAGAACCUUACCUACCCUUGACAUCCUGCGAACUCUGGUGAGAGCUGGAGGUGCCGAAAGGAGCGCAGAGACAGGUGCUGCAUGGCUGUCGUCAGCUCGUGUUGUGAGAUGUUGGGUUAAGUCCCGUAACGAGCGCAACCCUUGUCCUUAGUUGCCAGCAUUAAGUUGGGGACUCUAAGGAGACUGCCGGUGAGGAACCGGAGGAAGGCGGGGACGACGUCAAGUCAUCAUGGCCUUUAUGGGUAGGGCUACACACGUGCUACAAUGGGGCGUACAGAGAGUCGCGAAGCCGCGAGGUGGAGCCAAUCUCCUAAAGCGUCUCGUAGUCCGGAUUGGAGUCUGCAACUCGACUCCAUGAAGUUGGAAUCGCUAGUAAUCGCGAAUCAGCAUUGUCGCGGUGAAUACGUUCCCGGGCCUUGUACACACCGCUGUA